CGCCAUGUGAUGUUUACAUCAGGCUUCAGCAACUAUUCGUCAUUUGAGUAUUACGCCAUGUGUCUUCGUAACCGUUCAACUUCAACCGUCUUCAAAAAAGCGGAUUUUAUGCAGAAAUUGCAGGCGACCUGAUCUAAAAAAAUGGAAGCUUCAGUAAAGAAGAAGAGGAGAAGAAAGCGAGGGCACGGCAAGACCAGGGAACUUCAUGUCUGCGUUCCUGGUGGGGGUGAGGGCUCACCUACUCCUGGUGGUGAGGGGCGG